rnacentral:rRNA from 1 species
GAUGAACGCUGGCGGCGUGUCUAAGGCAUGCAAGUCGAACGGACUGUUAUUUGUAGCAAUACUUAGAACAGUUAGUGGCAAACGGGUGCGUAACACAUUGGUAACCUGCCUCAAAGUCGGGCAUAAUCCCACGAAAGUGGGACUAAUUCCACGAUAGUCAUCGAAGGUGAGAUUCCUUCGAUGUAAAGUCGCAAGACGCUUUGAGAGGGGCCUAUGGCCUAUCAGCUUGUUGGUGAGGUAACGGCUCACCAAGGCUAUGACGGGUAGGGGGUGUGAGAGCACGACCCCCCUCACUGGGACUGAGACACUGCCCAGACACCUACGGGUGGCUGCAGUCGAGAAUAUUCCCCAAUGGCCGAAAGGCUGAGGGAGCGACGCCGCGUGCAGGAAUAAA